rnacentral:tRNA from 1 species
UGGCUCAGUUUGUAGAGCAUGGUGUUUGCAACGCCAGGGUUGUGGGUUUGAUUCCCAU